GAUGAACGCUGGCGGCGUGGAUAAGGCAUGCAAGUUGAGCGGGGGAAGGUAGCUUGCUACUGGACCUAGCGGCGGACGGGUGAGUAAUGCUUAGGAAUCUGCCUAUUAGUGGGGGACAACAUCUCGAAAGGGAUGCUAAUACCGCAUACGUCCUACGGGAGAAAGCAGGGGAUCUUCGGACCUUCCGCUAAUAGAUGAGCCUAAGUCGGAUUAGCUAGUUGGUGGGGUAAAGGCAUACCAAGGCGACGAUCUGUAGCGGGUCUGAGAGGAUGAUCCGCCACACUGGGACUGAGACACGGCCCAGACUCCUACGGGAGGCAGCAGUGGGGAAUAUUGGACAAUGGGGGGAACCCUGAUCCAGCCAUGCCGCGUGUGUGAAGAAGGCCUUAUGGUUGUAAAGCACUUUAAGCGAGGAGGAGGCUACUUUAGUUAAUACCUAGAGAUAGUGGACGUUACUCGCAGAAUAAGCACCGGCUAACUCUGUGCCAGCAGCCGCGGUAA
rnacentral:rRNA from 1 species